AGGACAGAGUGAAGGAGAUGUCACCGAGCGUGCACCACUGUACCGACAUCGGGUCGAAGUACCCACCUAUAUGAAUAACGUGUCUGUCUCCCAACUGUGGAAGAUCAUCAACCGGACCUACAUAGGGUCCACCAGGUAAGAAACCAACCCACAUAUAUAAAAUAUUAAACUCACAAUCCCACAAUUAAACCCACGAGAAUCAGUUUCCCAAAACCAAUUAUCGUAACUCGUCGGAAGUCCCAAAAAUCGUACCGGGACUCCGCUGGGACCCAUGAAGUGUCCCGAGACUCACCGACUCACAUGGUGUCUUGGUAGAAAAUACAUAGGCUCACAUCGAAACAAUUAUCGUUGAAUAACCGUUCCGAUCUCGAUUUCUGAAAGUGUCAAUUUUGACACCGGAACCCACCGUCGCUCACUCGUCAUCUCCAAACCCUCGAAACGACAAAAGUAACCAGCCAAUAAGGCUCAGGGACCAAAUACAGGGCAUUCUAACACCGUCGGAUGAAAUAUGAACCGAAACCGCGUUUUGCCGGCAAAUUUUGCCGACAAACGCACCGAAAUCGAUAUUCAAUUUUCGCGAAGGGCAUCAGACC
rnacentral:lncRNA from 1 species